UUUGCAUCAAAUGAAUGAGGAAUUCAUUUCGUUUGCAGAGAAUGCCGCUUGUAAAUGAAUCCUAAUGUUUAGUAGUAUAAUAUCAUUGGCCAAGUCAUCUAAGUUUUCUAUAGUUCAAAAUUGUAAUCUUACUAGUUAUAGUUCAUUUGUAAAUGUUGAUUUAAUAGGAUUUGGUUCAAGCAUGACUAGUUUCGUGGAUAAUGAGAUAGAAAUCCAAAUAAGUUUUUCAUUUGUUUUGAUGAAUCUUUGCUGCUAAAUAUCAGAUCUUGAUUAAGUUCACAAGAACCAUAUACAAGUUUGAUCCCCAGCAAGCGCACUUUGCUGUAGAA
rnacentral:lncRNA from 1 species